rnacentral:rRNA from 1 species
CCUACGGGAGGCAGCAGUGGGGAAUAUUGCACAAUGGGGGAAACCCUGAUGCAGCCAUGCCGCGUGUGUGAAGAAGGCCUUCGGGUUGUAAAGCACUUUCAGUUGUGAGGAAAGUUUAGUAGUUAAUACCUGCUAGAUGUGACGUUAGCAACAGAAGAAGCACCGGCUAACUCCGUGCCAGCAGCCGCGGUAAUACGGAGGGUGCGAGCGUUAAUCGGAAUUACUGGGCGUAAAGCGCACGCAGGCGGUCUGUUAAGCUAGAUGUGAAAGCCCCGCGCUCAACGUGGGAGGGUCAUUUAGAACUGGCAGACUAGAGUCUUGGAGAGGGGAGUGGAAUUCCAGGUGUAGCGGUGAAAUGCGUAGAGAUCUGGAGGAACAUCGAUGGCGAAGGCAACUCCCUGGCCAAAGACUGACGCUCAUGUGCGAAGGUGUGGGUAGCGAACAGGAUUAGAUACCCUGGUAGUCCACACCGUAAACGCUGUCUACUAGCUGUUUGUGAAUUUAAUUCGUGAGUAGCGAAGCUAACGCGAUAAGUAGACCGCCUGGGGAGUACGGCCGCAAGGUUAAAACUCAAAGGAAUUGACGGA